CUUUCAGUCGACUUGAAGAGCAUUUUUGGUUCUAAAUCGAGCUCAAACCUUCGUUUCCGCUACUCAUCUUCGUUUUCAUCUAAGGUCUUCGGGGAGCUUCUGUGAGCGUUUUUCACUACUAAUCGUUACACCGCCGCUUUUGUUCUUCAAUUUGAUAUCUAUUUUGCUUUUUUAAGCCAGUUUUCGUUGAUGUCGCGACUGUUUCUUGCUGAUUGGAUCGUCUUCGACCUGGGGCUGGAUGGUUUCUCGCUCGGGUGGCAAGAAAAUGUCGGAGAUCUCUUGUGGUGAUCGAGAUAGAUAGUAGUGUAAGAAGAAAUUGGGAAUGCGAGCAAUUUGAGCGUGGAACCAUCUUCUCCAAUUGGGAAAAGAGAUGUGCUUAGUUCCCUCUCUUCCAUGUUAAUAUACAUGUGAUCGUUCAAAACAAAGUUGAACACAAUCUGUUGUUAAAUUUAUAGGAUCGUUACGAUCCUUGAUGACCUCACGAAAUUUUGUGAUGGGACAUGCUUAAGAUUUGAUUCCGUGUUCAUUGAUAUGUGGUGUCUUACUGGAAGAUGGGCGAGCUCGCUGGCGAUGAACAUCUCAAGUACAUACUGUGUUGAAAAGGUAGGUAUGAAAUUUUUACUACUCUCUUCUUGUUCUCUUGUCCACUUUCUGCCAGUUACUGAAAAUGACUUGGUUUAUCUGGAUCUGCUACUAUUCAGCAUUUUGGAGUUUACUAAUUUGAGUUUCUGGGUUUGAUCUUGCACUCAGAAAAAGGAUAGUUUUGAGUCAUUGAUUAUGGAGCACUUGAGAUUGGAUGGAGCAUUUUGGGGAUAGAACACUCUAGAUCUUCUUGGAAAACUUGGCACUGUGGAUUCAAAUGAAGUUGUUUCUUGGAUCCUGUAAUGCCAGCAUCUGUCUGGUUUGUAUUUUUUUGUCUCUCGGCUUCUUUUUUGCGAUUACCCACCAAAAACAUGUGGCUGACGGAACCUCCACUCCACAUUCAGUCAAGUUUUUCUUAUUUGACAGUAUGCUUAAGAUAUUAGCUUGGGAUUGACAAGUUCCAUCUAUUACAUUGAUGACCACAUCUUAGGAGUGAUUAGUGUUGCUUUAUUUAUUUAUAUUCUAAAACUUGACUCUAAAGAGCAAAGUGCAAAUGACACUUAGGGCCUGCUUGUGCAGGUGGGCUUUGGUGCCAAAUAUUGGACAUGAUCCGCAUCUGCUGUAUGCACUCAGAGCCGUGCAAGUACUGGCCCUUUAUGGCAAAUUAGAUGUUUUUGACAUCAAUAAUGUGACAGAUUGUAUCCUUUGGAAUAAAGUGUCUUAGAUUCGCAACUCCCUUGAUGAUCUUACCUUAGGCUCUGUUUUGCAUGUAAAAGGUCAGAUUAUGUUAUGGAAUUUUAUAGUGUGUAUAUUGCUAGCCAGACAUUGAUGGAGAUUGAAGUUGCUACUGUUGGAUUAUCUCUGGUAUCAAAUGUUCUACAUUGUUGUGCCUGAA